GCCUUGCAGUGCCCGCCGACCAGGAGCCUGGCUGAGAUCAGCGGCAUCCGCCGAAAGAAGUCAACGCGGCUGAGGGGCCACAGUGCCCUAGGGCAGUGGCUGUGCGCACACAAGCUGGCAGGGAACGGACAGCAACAAGCUCCGCCAGCCCCAGAGCCUGGCGCACCCGCCGCUCCACCUGAUCUCCGCAGGGGCGCUGGGCAGCCGGGAGGAGGAGGCUAGGCGUCCAGUCCACUGCGCUCUCGGGUGGCCGCUCCCUCCCCCGAGGCCUUGCUCACGCCGCCCAGAGCGCUGCGGCCGAUCUGUUCUGGGCGCUAGUCCGGGAAUGAGUGCUCGCUUCAGCGAGGACAGAGCGAAGUCCUCGGCACAAGCAAACGCUAGGAGGCCAACACGAGUUCUUCCUCUCUCGCGGCUGCAGUGGGCAACCUUCGCCACCGCCUCUGUUUAUUUCGGCCUGAGAACUGCUUUUAUUCAUAAAUCUUGGAAACUGAGAUAAAAUUCGCACAAGAGAAUAACAACAUACUUCGAAAUUUAUAUUGAAAUGAAAUCACCAAAAACGCUGGAAGAAGACUCUUGUUGAGAUUUGCUGCAAUGAAUAUGAGCUCCUGCCUGAUCCAACAACCUCUCAAACCUUAGGUUUCUAGAAAGGCUGCUCGGUCAAACUCCCCAAACCGGUAACUGUCAACGCUUGGAAGCCCGUUCUUUCUUUGUUAAGUUUCCCCAAAUUGUUCUUUUCAAACAGGGCAAAACCUGCACUGGGCAAAACCUCAGAUUGUGGCUGAGAAGGAUAUCCGCCACAGGGCUCCUGGCAAGGGUACAUUUCCCAUAGAGUGAAGAGAACCAAGGCUUGAUCAAAAAAUUCGUGGUGUGUUUACAAAAAGAAAAAUAAGGGAUGAGGCAAAGCAAAUCCCACAAACAUCCCAGCAAUCAUGGGCAAAUCCUUUUGAAUGGUGUCUACUGUGUGUGAUCUCUUAUAGCAUGAUGUGCACAUACAUACAGAAGAAUAAAUGCAUUGCACUUCACCCACUGUGUUCUCACACACAAAGGUAUACAUUGUGGGAAAGGAGACACCAAAUACAAACAACUUGGCUAUCCACUGAAUAUAUUAUUGUGACUCUUGGCCCCAGUAACACUCCAAUUUUUUUCCCUUAAAGAAAGGUGUAAAAAUGGGGGAGAGAAGCUGUGAAGAUGAGUAUGUAAUACAUUGUAGCUUAGGCCAAAAUAAUAAUUAACAUAAUAAUAAUUUCCUUUUCUACAAGAGUUCUAGCACCACCACCAUCUAUAUCAGAGGCAAAAAUCCAACAAGAUAAUCAACAGGAUAUUAAGUUGGGGGUUACUUUUGA